rnacentral:snoRNA from 1 species
UUGCAGGCCGUUGUCAGCAAGGCUUGGCCUGCAGUGGCUCUGUCCUCCUGUAGUGUCUGUUACAGAGAUGGUGUGAGGCCCUGCUGUCUCCUCCAUAGCAAGGUUAUAGGUCAACCUCAGACACAC